GGCACAAGACAACCUGACAUUUCAGGAGAUGCUCUGUCAGAAUUGGAUCUCUGAGUGGGGUGGCUCUUGAUAGGGAUCCCUGUUAACUGUGACUAGAAUCCUGAGAAGAGAAAAACCUUCCUGAAAUGGGCAUAUCCCUGGCUGGCCUGGAACCAACCUUUCGGACUUAGGACUAUGGGAAGAAUAGGGGGAGAUUCUCUAGUGAUGAUAAUACAUGAAUGCUUUAAAAGCUAGAACAGGCGUCCCUGGGUGGUCUUGAACUACUCACCGUUCGGUUAAUAGCCGAACGCUCUGACCGAUUGCGCCACAGAGACAGGUACUAGCGAUUCCACUGGGCGCUGUAGGCAGGGCGCACUCACCGAACUCCCCCAUCCCUUCCAGCCUCAGGGCCCGCCUGGCAGGACUACUGAGCAAGGCCUUGGAAAAUCGGAGCGAUUAGAGCGGUUCAAACAAUACAGAAGUGUAUAAAGUAAGAAUUGGAAGUCUCUUCGCUGCUCUAAUCUCACUCCUCAGAGGUGAUCACUGGACCUGAGUGAGCAGAAGGCUUUUCAGAAUUACAGCCUGAACUAUUUCUUGAGCAAUUUGGGAACUCAUUUCUAAAGCAGUCCUCAGAUUCACACAACGUAGUUUGUGACGGAGUAUGCCCAGAGCAGUGUGGAAGAUGAUCAAAGUAUGACAUUUCUUCUACCCCAGAGGCUGGCAUUUCUGCAGGCACAAAUGAGCUUGGUUUUCAAGCACUGCUCUUUGAACACAAGGAAUUCCUUUAAUGAUCACGCCGGACUAUAUAGACUUUGGAAUCAGACUCUUUGAAUUCCAGCUCUGCCAUUUACCAACUUUGACACUUUGGACAACGUCUCAUUCUGUCACCCAGGCUGGAGUGCAAUGGCACAAUUAUAGCUCACUGCAGCCUCAAACACCUGGGCUCAAGCAAUCCUUCCACCUCUGCCUCCUGAGUAAUUGGGACUACAGGUAUUAUGUUUCUAUUAAUGCAGUCUAAAGGGUUUUGGAAAUCUGGAUUGUAGCAGGGCAUUGUGGAUCUGCCUGUUGGUGGAGAACCCUAGACUGCAUGCAGCCAUGCACAUGAUCUGGAGACACAGCAGAGACAAGGUCUUUGUCUGUUGCUCAGGACGGAGUGUAGUGGUGCCAUAGCACACUGUAAUCUUGAAUUUCUGGACUACUGGCAUACACCACCAUGCUUAGGUUCGGGCCACAACAUCCGUGACUUUACCGGUUUUGGUCUCUUCCUUGUAACUUUCGGCUCCAGGAUGCUGCGCAGCUCCUCUCUGCACUAUCUAUCAGAACGUUGCUCUGCGUGCUUGAAAGUUUCGCCAAACAGAAGUACACAAAAACAAACAGAGGCGAAACACAAAUCCCCUCAGCCCUGGAGGAAAAGGCCUUGAAGCUCUUCCAGUGCAGAGGCCACGCAGAGGACAUGCUCCUACCUGUGCACAUCGGCCACGCCUGGGGUGCCUCCUGGAGUCCAGGCUGCUGGCGAUGGAAUCCAUCAUGUUGCUGAUGUCACUGAUUACGCCCAUACGUUGACCUGUGUUACUGAAAGAGAAAAGUUUAUUGUACCCAUCAAAGCUAGAGGGGCACGAGCCAUUCUCGAUUUUCCUGACAAGCUGAAUUUUUCCACUUGUCCUGUCAAAUACAGCACCCAGAAGAUUCUGCUGGUACGAAACAUUGGCAACAAAAAUGCUGUAUUUCACAUCAAAACUUGUAGGCCUUUCUCUAUAGAACCAGCUAUUGGAACUCUUAAUGUGGGAGAGUCCAUGCAACUGGAAGUGGAGUUUGAGCCACAGAGUGUGGGCGAUCACAGUGGAAGACUUAUCGUGUGUUAUGACACAGGUGAAAAGGUGUUUGUAUCUCUCUAUGGAGCUGCCAUAGACAUGAAUAUAAGGCUGGAUAAGAAUUCCUUGACCAUCGAGAAAACCUACAUAUCUCUGGCCAAUCAGCGAACUAUAACCAUUCACAAUCGCAGUAAUAUCAUUGCCCAUUUCCUGUGGAAGGUAUUUGCUACCCAGCAAGAAGAGGACAGAGAAAAAUAUAGGGCCUGUGAUGAUCUGAUCAAAGAGGAGAAGGAUGAGACUGAUGAGUUUUUUGAAGAGUGCAUUACUGAUCCUUUACUCCGAGAACAUCUUUCUGUUCUGUCCCGAACCUUUGCGAAUCAAAGGAGGCUGGUGCAGGGAGACAGCAAACUGUUCUUCAAUAACGUUUUCACUGUGGAGCCCCUGGAAGGUGAUGUCUGGCCCAACUCAUCAGCUGAAAUCACCGUGUACUUUAACCCACUAGAAGCCAAGCUCUAUCAACAGACCAUUUACUGCGACAUUUUAGGCCGAGAAAUCCGUCUGCCCCUCCGAAUCAAAGGGGAAGGCAUGGGACCUAAGAUUCACUUCAACUUUGAAUUGCUGGAUAUUGGGAAAGUUUUCACUGGAUCUGCACAUUGUUAUGAGGCGAUACUGUACAACAAAGACAGCAUCGAUGCUCUCUUCAACAUGACCCCUCCAACUUCAGCUUUGGGGGCCUGCUUUGUUUUCAGUCCCAAGGAAGGCAUCAUUGAACCAAGUGGAGUCCAAGCUAUCCAGAUCUCCUUCAGCUCUACCAUCCUGGGAAACUUUGAAGAAGAGUUCCUGGUCAAUGUCAAUGGGUCACCUGAGCCUGUGAAACUGACCAUUAGAGGCUGUGUCAUUGGACCUACCUUCCAUUUUAAUGUUCCAGCUCUGCACUUUGGUGAUGUUUCCUUUGGGUUUCCUCAUACCUUGAUAUGUUCCCUCAAUAAUACCUCUUUGAUCCCCAUGACUUACAAACUGCGUAUCCCUGGGGAUGGCCUUGGCCAUAAAAGCAUUUCAUAUUGUGAGCAGCAUGUGGACUACAAAAGACCGUCUUGGACCAAGGAAGAAAUAUCCUCAAUGAAACCAAAAGAAUUCACCAUCUCUCCUGACUGUGGCACCAUUCGCCCCCAGGGAUUUGCUGCUAUCAGGGUGACAUUAUGCUCCAACACUGUACAGAAAUACGAGCUGGCACUCGUGGUGGACGUGGAGGGCAUCGGAGAAGAGGUGCUGGCGCUCUUAAUUGCAGCAAGGUGUGUUGUACCUGCCCUCCACCUGGUCAAUACAGAGGUGGACUUUGGGCACUGCUUCCUGAAGUACCCGUAUGAGAAAACACUCCAGCUUGCCGAUCAAGAUGACCUCCCAGGAUUCUAUGAGGUCCAGCCUCAGGUGUGUGAGGAGGUGCCUACUGUGCUGUUUUCCAGCCCCACCCCCAGCGGGGUCAUCUCCCCAAGCAGCACCAUCCACAUACCACUGGUCCUGGAGACCCAGGUCACUGGAGAACACAGAUCCACGGUUUACAUCUCAAUCUUUGGGAGCCAGGACCCCCCUUUGGUAUGUCACUUAAAGAGCGCUGGAGAAGGCCCAGUUAUCUACGUCCAUCCCAAUCAAGUGGACUUCGGGAAUAUCUACGUCCUAAAAGACUCUUCCAGGAUUCUCAACCUAUGCAACCAGUCCUUCAUUCCCGCAUUUUUCCAGGCACACAUGGCACACAAAAAAUCCCUUUGGACGAUUGAACCCAAUGAAGGCAUGGUUCCUCCAGAAACUGAUGUUCAACUGGCACUGACCGCCAACCUGAAUGACACACUGACAUUCAAGGACUGUGUUAUUUUGGACAUUGAAAAUAGCAGUACCUAUCGGAUUCCUGUUCAGGCUUCCGGAACUGGUUCCACUAUUGUUUCAGAUAAGCCCUUUGCUCCAGAACUCAAUUUGGGGGCACAUUUUAGCCUGGAUACCCACUAUUACCACUUUAAGUUGAUCAACAAGGGACGUCGGAUCCAACAGUUGUUCUGGAUGAAUGAUAGCUUCCGACCCCAGGCCAAGCUGAGUAAGAAGGGCCGGGUUAAGAAGGGACAUGCUCAUGUCCAACCCCAGCCCAGUGGCUCUCAGGAGCCCAGGGAUCCACAGAGCCCCGUGUUUCAUCUCCACCCCGCCAGCAUGGAGCUGUACCCAGGCCAGGCAAUUGAUGUGAUACUCGAAGGCUAUUCUGCUACUCCCAGGAAACCUAACAGUAUCCUGAAACCUGAUUACCAGCCCUUGGCCGUAAAGAACAUUUCCACCCUGCCCGUGAACUUGUUGCUGUCAACAUCUGGACCCUUCUUUAUAUGUGAGACUGAUAAAUCCCUGCUGCCGGCAACUCCUGAGCCUAUUAAACUGGAAAUUGAUGAAGAAAAAAACCUGCUGAUCAAGUUUGACCCUUCCUACAGAAACGAUCUGAACAACUGGGUGGCAGAAGAAAUUCUAGCAAUUAAGUAUGUGGAACACCCUCAGAUAGACAGCCUGGACCUGCGCGGAGAAGUGCAUUACCCCAACCUCAGCUUUGAGACAAAGGAGCUGGAUUUUGGCUGCAUCCUGAACGAUACUGAGCUCAUUCGCUACGUUACCAUCACCAACUGCAGUCCGUUGGUUGUGAAGUUUCGCUGGUUCUUCUUGGUGAAUGAUGAGGAAAAUCAGAUAAGGUUUGUGACAUUGCCAAAGAAGCCCUACAGUGCCCCACUGUCCCAGAUGGAGUCCAUCCCAGCAACCUCAGAGGCUGCCAGCCCACCAGCAAUCCUAGUUACAGUAGAGUCCCCCGAGAUGGAUUUAAAUGAUUUUGUUAAGAAAUAAAAAUUAGCUCUACUGAAAUAGAAAGAAUAUACUCAAGCCAGAGCCAGGUGGAGGAUCAGGAAUCCCUACAGACCUGUGAACAGAAUGAGAUGCUUUCCAUUGGGAUAGAAGAAGUGUUUGAUAUUUUGCCCCUGUUUGGAGUGUUGCAGCCACACAGUAGCCACCAAAUAUCGUUCACCUUCUAUGGACACGCUAACAUCAUUGCACAAGCUAAAGCUCUGUGUGAAGUGGAAGAAGGACCCACCUACGAAAUAACACUGAAGGGAGAGGCGUCCCUGGUCAACUAUUCCUUUGACACCAAGGAUAUUCACUACGGAUUACAGCUGUUUGACCAUGUCACAGAGAGGGAAAUCACGCUGACGAACAUGGGGAAAGUUGGCUUUGAGUUCAAGGUUCUGACUGACCACCAGUCUUCUCCAGACAACCUUCUCCCUGGAGUGCCACUAAUCCUGCCUGUGUCUGGCUUUAUCAGUUCACAUCAAGAGCAGGUAUUAAAAGUUUACUACCUACCUGGAGUACCUGAGGUCUUUAAAAGGAGUUUCCAGAUACAGAUCGCCCACCUGGACCCAGAAAAUAUCACUCUGAGCGGAGAGGGAAUCUUUCCCCAAAUCUGCCUCGAUCUCCCCAGGAACCUCACAGCAAAUGAAAAGUAUGAAAUGUUCUUGAAUCAAGCCAGGAAAAACACAGACAAAGAGUAUAACAAAUGUGAAAUGCUCGAUCACUUUGACGUAAUAACUGAGGAAGUGCCAGAAGACGAGCCUGCUGAGGUAAGUGCUCAUCUCCAGAUGGAGGUAGAAAGACUUAUAGUCCAAAGCUAUGUCCUAGAACAUCAGAAAACAACCACCCCUGAUCCUAUGGAUGACCCCUGCUUCAGCCAUCGGAGUCGCCGCAAACUGGCCAAAAUCCAGCUACCAGAGUACAUCCUGGACUUUGGCUACAUCAUCCUUGGCGAAGUCCGAACCCACAUCAUCAAGAUCAUCAACACCAGUCACUUUCCAGUGUCAUUCCAUGCAGACAAGCGUGUCCUUCAUGAGACAGGAUUCAGUACUGAGCUAGAUCGUGUAAAGAAUCUGCCUCAUUGUGAAACGGAAAUAUUUGAAGUGAGAUUUGACCCACAGGGGGCCAAUCUUCCUGUUGGAAGCAAAGAAGUCAUUCUGCCCAUCAAGGUGGUUGGAGGGCCAACAGUUCACAUCUGUCUCCAAGCCAAGGUGACCAUUCCAACCAUGACUCUCUCUCGUGGAAAAGUGGACUUUGCCACAAUUCAGUGUGGACAGUGCCUGGUGGAAACUAUUCAGCUUUCCAAUCAUCUCCAAGUCCCUUGUGAAUGGUUCGUCCAGAGCCAAAAGCCUGUUGACAAGCUGGAGAAACACAUGCCGAAGUACUUAAGACAGAAACUACGCGCUGAAUUAAAGCCAAAGACACGGAUCUUCGAAAUCCAGCCCAUUUCUGGAGUCUUGGAUCCUGGUGAGAAGUCCAACGUGCAAGUGAAAUUCAUGCCAAAAGAAGAGAAAUUCUACAGCCAAACCCUGGUGUUUCAGAUUGCCCAGAGUGCUCAAAAGCUUACCCUCCUGGCACGUGGGCAAGGUCUAGAGCCACGCCUGGAAUUUAGUCCUUCAGUCCUGGAUCUGGGGCCACUGCUACUUUGUGCACCUGGAGACGAGGCCGAGGUGAUAGUGAAGAAUCCCUGCAACUUCCCCAUUGAGUUUUAUUCCUUAGAAUUUGAUCAGCAGUAUCUCAUAGAAGAAAAGAUCUUGCGGAAGCUGAAGGGCUAUGAUUCCUACAACACCCUGCUGCUGCCUCCCCGCAACCCUGGGGAGAAGCUGCCCCCAGAACUGUACGAGUACUUCAAAGAGAUAAAGAAGUCAAAAGAGGAGCAGAUGAGGGCGAAAUAUCUGGAGAAUCUGGCACAGGAGAAUGAAGAGGAAGAUAUAACCUCAUCAGAUCAGGGAACCUCCAAUAGCACAAAGAGGACAUCGCUGAGCCGAGGGAUCUCUGUCACAUCCAACCUGGAAGAAUGGCACGCCCUGUUGGUCGAGUCCAAAACCUACCUAGAGGAAGAGGAGGAUGAGGAAAGCCUGGAAAAAAUCAUUUUCCAAACUGACAAGCUUCAGAGCAUUGACAGCCACUCCAUGGAGGAAGUUGGAGAGGUGGAAAACAACCCAGUGAGCAAAGCAAUCGCUCGCCACCUGGGCAUUGACAUUUCUGCAGAAGGCCGCCUGGCCAAGAACCGGAAAGGCAUCGCCAUUAUCAUUCACGGGACACCCUUGUCAGGAAAGUCAGCCAAUGCCGUUAGCGUGGCCAAGUACUACAACGCAGCCUGCCUGAGCAUCGACUCCAUUGUGCUGGAAGCUGUGGCCAACAGCAACAACAUCCCAGGGAUCCGGGCCUGUGAGCUCUGCAUCAGGGCUGCCAUAGAGCAGUCCAUGAAGGAAGGAGAGGAGGCUGCUGAGUGACUGCUACCGAGGAGUGGUGUUUGAUGGCCUCGACACUCUCUUUGCUCGGAAUGCUGCAGCCGCCCUCCUCUGCCUGCUGAAGGCCAUUGGCAGCCGGGAGCAUAUAUACAUUCUCAACAUGGCCCAGGAUUACGCAGCCAUGAAGGCCCGGGAGAAAGCCAAAAAGGAGCAAGAAGAACGCAAGCACAAGGGAGCUCUUGAGAAAGAGAAGGAGGGUCUCCAAAACAUGGAUGAGGAAGAAUAUGAUGCCCUGACUGAGGAGGAGAAACUCACAUUCGAUCGGGGGAUUCAGCAGGCGCUCCGCGAGCGGAAGAAGAGGGAGCAGGAGAGGCUGGCAAAGGAAAUGCAAGAAAAGAAGCUACAGCAGGAGCUGGAGCGACAAAAGGAAGAGGAUGAGCUGAAACGGAGGGUCAAAAAAGGAAAGCAGGGACCCAUUAAGGAGGAGCCCCCCAUGAAGAAAUCUCAAGCAGCAAACAAGCAGCUACUGUGUGCUGAAUUCCUGCUAUGUGACACUCCCUGCUGGGAACUGUGAAUAGAUCCCAUCACCAUCUAUCUCCAGUCUCCACAACACCCGCUGAGGGAGAUAUGAUCAUCACCAUCAUUUUGGAGAUGAGGAAGCUGGAAUGCAGCACAGUUCCUCCGCUCACCAAAGUGGAUGUCAAGAUGGAGACAAUCGAAAGGAAAAUAUCUGUUAGGGAACAAACAAUGUCUGAGAAGGAAGAGCUAAAUAAGAAGAAAAGGAACAUGGGCGAUGUCAGCAUGCAUGGGCUUCCUCUUGUCCAGGACCAAGAGGACAGUGAAGGGGACAUCUCAAAGGACCCCGACAAGCAACUGGCCCAGAAGUUUAAGACCUAUGAAUUGACACUGAAGGAUGUCCAGAACAUCCUCAUGUACUGGGACCGGAAGCAAGGAGUCCAGCUGCCUCCUGCAGGGAUGGAGGAAGCUCCCCAUGAGCCCGACGACCAGCGCCAGGUCCCCUCGGGUGGGCGCAGGGGCCGCAAGGACCGGGAGAGAGAGCGCCUGGAGAAGGAGCGCCUGGAGAGGGAGAAGGCGGAGCGGGAGCGCCUGGAGAAGCUGCGAGCCCUGGAGGAGCGGAGCGACUGGGAGGGGGAAGGGGAGGAGGACCACGAAGAGAAGAAGGAGAAGGACCUGGGCGUACCCUUCCUUAACAUCCAGACACCAGACUUUGAAGGCUUGAGCUGGAAGCAGGCCCUAGAGAGCGACAGGCUUCCCAAAGGAGAGCAGGCUCAAGAGGAGCAGACCAGCUCAUCUAAGGGGGGCAAACAGAAAAUGAAAGAAAAGAUAGACCAAGUCUUCGAGAGUCAGAAAGACAAGCGUCACAUGGCCUUAAACAGGAAGGUCCUUUCUGGGGAACCUGCUGGAACCAUUUCCCAGCUGUCAGAUACAGACCUGGACAACUUCAACGGGCAGCACUCCCAGGAGAAAUUCACCAGACUGAAUCACUUCCGGUGGAUCGUGCCAGCCAAUGGCGAGGUAACGUUGCAGGUGCACUUCUCUUCUGAUGAGUUCGGGAACUUUGACCAAACCUUUAACUUUGAGAUCCUAGGAACUUGCUGCCAGUACCAGCUCUACUGCCGAGGCAUCUGCACUUACCCAUACAUUUGCCAAGACCCAAAAGUGGUAUUUCCUCAGCGGAAGAUGGACAUGAAGACAAAUGAGGUCAUCUUUAAGAAGUAUGUUAUGAGCACGGAGACGUACUACUUUGGGCCACUACUUUGUGGAAAAUCAAGAGAUAAGUACAAGUCAUCCUUAUUCCCAGGCAACAUGGAGACGCUAACAAUCCUGAACACUUCCUUAAUGGUGGUGGAGGCAUCCUUCUAUUUUCAGAAUGAUGUCAAAGCAAACACGUACUUCCUGGAACCCAACACCAUGGUCCUGAAACCCAAUGAGAAGCAGAUAUUAAACGUAUGGGCCUACCCUACUUCAGUUGGUGUCUUUGAAGACAGCAUUGUCUGCUGCAUCAAUGACAACCCAGAGCCAGCCAUCUUCCAAUUAAGCUGCCAGGGGAUCCGCCCGGAACUAGAGCUGGAACCCAGGCAAUUACAUUUUGACCGGCUCUUGCUGCACAGACAGGAAUCCAGGGUAGUUCUUCUCCGCAAUGUCACGCUCCUGCCUGUGGCCUGGCGGAUCACCAGCCUGGAGCACUUGGGUGAUGAUUUCACUGUAUCCCUGAUGCAGGGGACCAUCCCCCCUGAGGCUGAGUACGGCCUGCACCUGUACUUUCAGCCCACCAAGCCUGUCAACAUCAAGAAGGCUAUUCGGUUGGAGGUUUUAGAUGCAGAAAAUCUUCUUGGUGUUGUUCAGAUUGAAAAUAUCAUGGUCUUUGCAGAGGCAUACGACAUCGCCUUGGACAUCACCUUCCCCAAAGGAGCUGAAGGGGGACUGGAUUUUGGGAUUGUCAGGGUCACAGAGGAGGCGAAGCAGCCCCUGCAAUUGAAGAACCGUGGGAAAUAUGAGAUCGCGUUCAGGUAACUGGAAUCCCAUCAGAUGUAAGGCCAUCAAGUCCGCCGUGUGGAGGAAUGUGGGGAAAUAUGAGAUCGUGUUCAGGUAACCUGAAUCCCAUAGGGUUUGCGGCCGUCAAGUCCACCGUGGGGAAUAGCGUGUCUGGGAAACUUAUCAGUCAGUCAAGGAAAUCAUAAGAACCGUCUCUGCUUUUUUGCCUCCCUUGGCUUCAAAAGAAUGGAAUUCCACCUGCUAAGGAAGCAGAGAUUCUCACACUGCUCUCAACUCUGCAGCUUAACAGGGCCCUUUAAGUGGCCCGGAUGUACCUGGCCAGUUGGAACCAUAGGUGUCUGGGAAUGGAGGAAGAGACUUAGGGGAAGAGGCCGGGAGGGGGAGAUUCUAGGGGUGAGAAGAGGUCCCAGGGUGGAGGGAGAGACUGGAGAUGGGCGACCUGGCCUCAAGCUGUCCUGCCUUCUGCCAGCUCUUAUCUGCUUUACAAGGAGACCUUCUUCAGCAGAUUUCAUGUGAAGAAAGGGCUUUCCUUUUUCAUUACAUUCUAAGAAUCACGAUAUUGUACAAUCCAAAUAGUAGCUUGGUAGAAUAGAGCUCUGGCUUGUGCUCAUCCCCAGAGAUAAAAAAUGAAACACAGAGGCUGGGUGUGAUGGCUCAUGCCUGUAAUCCCAGCACUGUAGGAGGUGAAGGCAGGCAGAUUGCUUGAGCCCAGGAGUUGGAGACCAGCCUGAGCAAAGUGGCAAGACCCCCCUGCCUCUACAAAAUACAAAAAAAGUUAGCUAGGCGUGGUGGUCAUAUCACUUGUAGUCCCAUCUACUUGGGAGACUGGAAUGGGAGGAUCGCUUGAGCCCAGAGAGGUCAAGGCUGCAGUGAGCCGUGAUCGUGCCACUGCACUCCAGCCUCAGCAACAGAGCGAGACCCUGUCUC